UUUAGCUUUCGCUCUCGCACUUAUUAGUGAGGUGGGCAGAGAUAAGACAAGCAGAAACAAGGGCCGAUCUGCUGGCCGAGCUUACACUGCACAACUGCACCCCACUCCCCACCCAGUUUAGUUCGCUUUGCUCGUUCGGUCUUGUUCUUCGAAGAAGCUUUGAGCCGUCGACAGUGCGUUGUUUUUAUCACAGUUCGCCGGUUCCCCCGGUCCCUCAUUCAAAGUGAGCGUAAAAGCGGACAAUUAAAUCGUGUGUCUAUAGGUGCAUAUUGAGAAAGAAAAAAACGAAUAUUAUAAACGGCGGCACACAGUAGAAGCCGGCAAACCGUGCAGGGCGUGCGUGAUAAUAGAUUUUGUGUGCUUUGUGUUUAUCUGUGAAAACAACAAACUACCCUAACGCAACAAAAGGAAACAGCAGUUUACUGCGAAAGUGAGAUGUUGGAAAACUUUUCAAGUGAUGUUGGUAAACACACAAAAUUAUGGGCAAACAAGCGCUGGUGCUGCCAAACACUGAACAGUGUUGAGUAAAACACAACUAAAACAUCAAGAAAAAGUUGCGAUGGCAGCAGCUGGCUGGGAGGGGGGAGCAAUGCUGGAUUUCUGUUUUGAUUCGAUUUCAUAUGCGAUGUGCGCAUAGCUGCUGAAUGGUACAAAGCAUUGAUUGAUGGCUUAUUGAGAGGGCCAGCCAGGGGCGGCCCGGAGUCCCGGAGUCCCGGGAAAAAACAACGUACGUGCAACGAUGUGCAGUGCAGUCUGUGGCACCGUCUAAUGAG